rnacentral:tRNA from 1 species
GCCUUCGUGGUGUAGUGGUCAGCGCACUCGACUCGUGACCGAGAGGUCCGUGGGUUCGAUUUCCAGCGAAGGUG